rnacentral:lncRNA from 1 species
UCUCAGGCCACAGCCAGAAAUGAACAAUGAAGUGAGGUUACCUCAGGAAUGGACUUACUGAACGACCCAUCAUUUUCAAUGGGGUUUAAUUAUAGUCUUAUUGUUUUGUUCUUUUGGUUAGGAGUUUUAGGAAAGUGAAAGGAGAUUUCAAAGUUGAAAGAAAAUAAAAAAUGAAUGGAUAAUUGUUAGUUCUCUAUGUAGGAUAAAGCGCUAGUAUUAGUAUAAAACAAAUAGUUUUCCGGAGGAAAUUGGGAAAGAAGGAUGGUUUCUGGGUAAGAAUUAGGGCAAAAAUAAUUUUUCAAGUUUCAGGAUAACAAGUAUUAUACGAUGCAGCAGGAGCGGUAGCAGAUUUUGUUCGUUUUUGUUUGGCUCAAGGGAAAAAGAAAAGCUGGGUGGAAAGGAGAUUCUCUAUUUCUCUGCUUUGGUGUUUCAGAUUUUAAAAUAAGUGUGAUUUUGCUUUUUGGAAAGAGAGUCUGAUGAGAGUAGUGUGAUUAGUGAAAGGAGGAGUGAGAUAUGGUAACUCCCUUCUUCUUGUAAUGCCAUCACUGUAAAUGGGUAUUUUGCGUCAUCUAUCUGUAAAAUGCUUCAUUGCAGGCCUGUCCACCCACUCUCCAAUGGCCAUCAAGUAAUAAAAUAAUGAAAUGGGUAUUUGAUUUUUCAAUUUCAGUCUCUCCCCUGUUCUUUUCUCUCAUUAAUUCUUUUGCCAUGUACUUGGCGUCUGCUAAUGUAUACAUUUGUGUGUUGUCUUGGGCCUUUGUAAUUAAUUGUCAAAGGCAUGAGUCUUUUCUCGAGCGAUGUGCUUGCCCUGCUUUCUAUGUGUUCUACUAUUGUUUAUACUUUGCUUCUAUCACAGUUGUCAAUUCUGUCCUUCAGAAGAAAAUACGCUAAUAAAAGGUGACUUAAUAAAAAAUAGUGUUUAAAAUUUAAGUUCCAAGUAUGCUAAUUAAUAAUGAAAAAGACAGGCAUAGUCAAUACUUGAUAUGGCUUAGGAACAAAGGAUCCGAUCUGGCCACUCCACUGCUGGUCUUUGAGCUGUCAAUGCAGUAGGGGUGUUGGCGUGGCGCGUGCUCCUUUUUUAUUUUGUAGUCGUCUAUCCACAAAGUGUCCUUUCUUUUGAGAUAUUUCAUUUACACAUCUCUUUUUCAUUAACCCUCUAAAAAACUUUUGCUCAGUAGAGGAAGAGACGUUGCUUUCCUAGCUUCACACACUGUACGGCCGGUAAGCAAUCAGCACUAUUUGCCGGCUAAGGUGUGUCUCAUAUAUAUAUAUAUUUUUUUUCUUUCUCUUAAAAGAUAUUUUCUCCGUAAUUUGGUAAGCACUACCUGUGGAUACGGGUUCGACGCGAAUUAAUGGUGUGCUUGGGGAAUGUCAUUUCGAGCCACG